GCUAACUACGUGCCAGCAGCCGCGGUAAUACGUAGGUGGCAAGCGUUAUCCGGAUUUAUUGGGCGUAAAGCGAGCGCAGGCGGUUUUUUAAGUCUGAUGUGAAAGCCCUCGGCUUAACCGAGGAAGUGCAUCGGAAACUGGGAAACUUGAGUGCAGAAGAGGACAGUGGAACUCCAUGUGUAGCGGUGAAAUGCGUAGAUAUAUGGAAGAACACCAGUGGCGAAGGCGGCUGUCUGGUCUGUAACUGACGCUGAGGCUCGAAAGCAUGGGUAGCGAACAGGAUUAGAUACCCUGGUAGUCCAUGCCGUAAACGAUGAAUGCUAGGUGUUGGAGGGUUUCCGCCCUUCAGUGCCGCAGCUAACGCAUUAAGCAUUCCGCCUGGGGAGUACGACCGCAAGGUUGAAACUCAAAGGAAUUGACGGGGGCCCGCACAAGCGGUGGAGCAUGUGGUUUAAUUCGAAGCAACGCGAAGAACCUUACCAGGUCUUGACAUCUUUUGAUCACCUGAGAGAUCAGGUUUCCCCUUCGGGGGCAAAAUGACAGGUGGUGCAUGGUUGUCGUCAGCUCGUGUCGUGAGAUGUUGGGUUAAGUCCCGCAACGAGCGCAACCCUUAUGACUAGUUGCCAGCAUUUAGUUGGGCACUCUAGUAAGACUGCCGGUGACAAACCGGAGGAAGGUGGGGAUGACGUCAAAUCAUCAUGCCCCUUAUGACCUGGGCUACACACGUGCUACAAUGGAUGGUACAACGAGUUGCGAGACCGCGAGGUCAAGCUAAUCUCUUAAAGCCAUUCUCAGUUCGGACUGUAGGCUGCAACUCGCCUACACGAAGUCGGAAUCGCUAGUAAUCGCGGAUCAGCACGCCGCGGUGAAUACGUUCCCGGGCCUUGUACACACCGCCCGUCACACCAUGAGAGUUUGUAACACCCGAAGCCGGUGGCGUAAC
rnacentral:rRNA from 2 species